rnacentral:lncRNA from 1 species
GGCCGUGUUCACACCAAACUCCAUGUACAGUAAACGUGUUUACAAUUAGUUUAACGUACUGGCCAUUGGUUUCACAUUAAAUUUGUUCACAUCUAUACACCUUGUUUAAUUACCUGUACAUAAGAUUCGUUCACACUUGUAAACUCUAUGUCAUUUAAAUGUUCCAUUACGUAGAAUCGAAUGAAAAGUUUUCGGACAACUUUGCUAGCAGUAAGGGAACGACCAUUUGACUCUGAAUAGGGGGGAUGGAAAUAUUCCAAACCCCAAUUGGAUAAAGAAAACAAUUCUGGUUCUAUAGAUGAUAAAAAAAUAUUCUGAAUCAAGAGUUUCCCCACACAUUAUAGUGUUAAAUGUUGAAAAAAAAAAUUUGAUUACCAGCAUCAAAUUAAAAAAAAAACAAAAACAAACAAACCCGUAAAACGUUUGCGCGGAAAUAAUUCUGACUCAGAUAAAUAAAAAAAUACCCCCCUUUUUUGAAGUUAAGUGGUUGCUUCUUUAUGGAAGCCAUUUUGAUGAUUUGCAGUAGUUUAAGGAUACUAAAGAUGUCUCGAUUAAGCAUUAGAAAACGUAGGCUGCAACAGCGUGCUUACAGACGAAGAAGAAGGAUUGAUAUAUUAGGGAUCACUAGAUUUCUAUCUUUUCUGUUUGUUCAAAUGGUACUCUUCUCCAAGAAGUAUAUGGCAAAGGGGGUGGGGGGGGUAUGUUUUUUUUUUUUUUUACUUUUUAAGUGUAAUUUCACGGAUCCGAGAUACUGCAAAAACAAUACAUUUACCUCACACUUUUUAAGUAAUGCAUUUAUGAGUGAAUCGUUGUUUGAGUAAAGACCAGUGGCAAAUAUUUCUGUGUAAGUCAAGUUUAUUCGGAAAUACCUUAAUUUUCAAAUGAAUUAUGUGUUCGGCAAUGAUGCUGCUUUGAGUCUUGAUAAGGGCUUAAUAAAGCUACGUUAAGUUUUAUUUCUAAACAAAACAAAUAAAUAUAUCAAGUUCAGACAAAUAUUUCUGUAAAGAACUUUUAUUAUAAUAUUUGCUAUAAAUAUCAAUUUUAUUCAAAAAUCGUUUCUUCUUUAAAUAUGCACGGUGAAACUAAUGUUUUAAAUGCCUAGUUUUAUGUACACUGAAUCUACACAAGGCCUACAUCGAGUAUCGACUGCAUGUAGACAAAACAUGAUUUACACUACAUGUAAACAUUGAGUUUUAUCAAUGAGAACGUAAUUUUGUUUAGUUUAUGUGUGAGUUACACUUACACAAC